rnacentral:sRNA from 1 species
GUCAGUGUGAAUGCAUCGGCCACCCCUUUCCAACAGCCGAGUGGAUAUGGGUCUCAUGGAUACAACACUGGUGUUUCAGUCACCUCCAGUAACACGGGCGUGCCAGAUAUCUCGGGUUCUGUGUACUCCAAAACCCAGUCCUUUGAGAAACAAGGUUUUCAUUCCGGUACUCCUGCUGCUUCCUUCAACUUGCCUUCAGCCCUAGGAAGUGGGGGCCCCAUCAAUCCGGCCACAGCUGCUGCCUACCCACCUGCCCCCUUUAUGCACAUUCUGACCCCCCAUCAGCAGCCGCAUUCUCAGAUCCUUCACCAUCACCUGCAGCAGGAUGGCCAGCUACCAUAUUUGCAGAUGAUUCUCUGUUGCCAGCGCCAGCAGGAGGAGCAGGACAUCCUCAAUUUCGUCGAUGACCAGCUUGGUGAAUAAGUAUUACUGUACCAACUGGGCCUCCUCUAGCAGGCCCCUGAAGGCAGUGGAAUAAAAUGAAAUCUUCGCCCUUUAAGAACUCCUGACCUUAAUGUGGUAGUAGUAUCUUGUCCUUGAGGGGAUUUCCUUCCCCUCACCCCUAAGACUUUCACAACCUGGUGACUGGAAAGAACCACCACAAAUCUUCAUUUCCUCCAGAAACUGCUACAUCUACAGCCGAUUUCAGGCAGUAAAGGGAAAGGGAUAGAGGAGAU